rnacentral:rRNA from 1 species
UCAGACGAUGCGUCAUGCAUAUCAAUAAGCGGAGGAAAAGAAACUAACAAGGAUUCCCCUAGUAACGGCGAGUGAAGCGGGAAGAGUUCAAAUUUGAAAUCUUAAAGGGUUUCCCUUUACGAAUUGUAGUUUAAAGAAGUGUUUUCUGUUGAGGUUUUGGUAAAAGUUCUUUGGAAUAGGACAUCAUAGAGGGUGAGAAUCCCGUAUUUGACCUUUACUUUCAACUUUGUGAUACACUUUCAAAGAGUCGGAUUGUUUGGGAUGCAGUCCAAAAUGGGUGGUAAAUUUCAUCUAAAGCUAAAUAUUGGCGAGAGACCGAUAGCGAACAAGUACCGUGAGGGAAAGAUGAAAAGAACUUUGAAAAGAGAGUUAAACAGUACGUGAAAUUGUCAAAAGGGAGGCGUUUGACACCAGUGUUGUUUUUCUGAAAAUCAAUUAAAGAACUGUUUAUGCUAAGUUGUUUAGACUUUAUCAGCUAACUGUUUAGUUUUGAGCUUUUCUUUAAUGCACUUUUCAGUUAACAAGUCAACAUCAAUUUCUUUUGCUGUAAAAGAGCUUGAGGAAGGUGGCUUGAGAUUCGUCUUAAGUGUUUAUAGCCUCUUGCCUAUGCAGUCGGAGAGAUUGAGGUCUGCAGCGUAGAUCCUUCGGGGCUAAAUGCAUUUGUGCUAAGUUAUAGCAUUUUAUAGACAACUUGUUGACUAUGAUUUGUCUUGUAGCUUACUCGCUUAUGUUAUUUUACCUACGCUUAGGAUGUUGAGCGCAUGUCUCUCUCU